AAAUCAAAAGCUAGAAAUAAUUAAGCUGAGCAAGGAAGGUAUGUUGAAAGCCAAGAUAGGCCGAAAGCUAGGCCUCUUGUGCCAAACAGCCAAGUUGUGAAUGCAAAGGAAAAGGUACUCCAGGGAACACACGAAUGGUAAGAAAUUGAAACAGCUUUAUUUAAGCUGAUAGGAAGAAAGUUUUGGUGGUCUGGAUGGAAAAGUAAACUACCCCAGCAUUCCCUUAAGUCACAGCCUAAUCCAGAGAGAGAUUCUAACUCUCUUCAAUUCUGUGAAGACUGAGAGAAGUGAGGAAACUGCAGAAGGAAAUUUAGAAGCUAGCAGAGGCUGGUUUGUGAGGUUUAAGGAAAGAAGCCAUUUCCAUAACAUAAAAGUGCAAGGUGAAGCAGCAAGUGCUGAUGUGGGAGCUGCAGCAAGGUAACCACAAGAUCUAGCUAAGACAGUCAAUGAAGGUGGCUACGCUAAACAACAUAUUUUCAUUGUAGACAAGCCUUAUAUUAGAAGAGGACACCAUCCAGGACUUCCAUAGCCAGAAAGGAGAAGUCAGUGCCUGGCUUCACACCUUCAAAGGACAGGCUGACGCUCUUGUUAGCUGCUAAUGCAGCUGGUGACUAGGUUGAAGUCGGUGCUCAUUUUCCAUUCUGAACACCCUAGGGCCCUUAACAGUUACGCUAAACCUACUCUGCCUGUGCUCUAUAAAUGGAACAACAAAGCCUAGAUGACAGCACAUGUGUUUACAACAUAGUUCACUGAAUAAUUUAAGCCCACUAUUGAAAUCUACUGCUCAGAA